ACAAAUAAAGGGAAUGAAGUUCUCCCUAAGUAAUAUAUUUACUUAAAACGCCUAUUAAAGCUGAUGACUUCUGCGAUUAA
rnacentral:ncRNA from 2 species